CAGUUUGCUGCAGCGAGGUGUACUUGGCUGAAGUGAGGAGCUAGCUGUUCGUUGUGGCUCUGCACCACAAAUAAAAACCCCUCCAAAACAGAUGGUGAAGAAGAGCUGAGUGCGGCGCAGAGCGGCCAUUUCCUGCUGGGGAUCAGUUGUGGGAUCAUCUGAACUCCAGUGUCCUGCUGGUCUACAAGUUGACCUCACCACCAGUUCACCCAUCACUCUGGUUGUGAAGAGGAGUGGUCUCCAUUAGAAGAAAUGGAGCAUCGAGGCAAAACGCUGGAGGCUGAUUUCAACCCCAAAGUCCUGCUGCAUAGAUUAGGGCUCUACAGCAGAGGGAAUGAGAGAGAGACAAGAGACAUGAUGAGCCGUCGGUGAGAAACCCGCUGCACUCCGUUCGCCUGGCGUCACAUCAGAGUCAGAGCGGCACUUCUGACAGCUGAUUAUGAGUUUAAUGAGUCUGGCAGCCAUAUUGGAUUUGGCUGUUAACCUGAUUCAGAUGAUCAAGUUAGUUGCUCGUUCAGAGAACCUUUUCAUGAUAUGCUCAUUUUUUGAGAUAGGAAUUUUGGG